GGACCGUUGGUGUAGUGGUAACACAUUGCGUCCGAAUGUGAAGUAGAGUGGUUCGACUCCCUCCCGGUCCA
rnacentral:tRNA from 1 species